AUCCUUUUGUGUUUUAUAAGCAUAAUGAUUGGGUUUUCACACCCAUGUGUGUGAUGUAGCUCCCUCAAACCUCCUUAGGACAUUUGCACAUUACCCAUAUGAUG